rnacentral:rRNA from 1 species
UACGUAGGGGGCAAGCGUUGUCCGGAAUCAUUGGGCGUAAAGAGCGUGUAGGCGGCUUGGCAAGUCUGGUGUGAAAUCUUGCGGCUCAACCGCAAGCGGUCACUGGAAACUGCCUCGCUAGAGUCCGGAAGAGGAGAGCGGAAUUCCUGGUGUAGCGGUGGAAUGCGCAGAUAUCAGGAAGAACACCCGUGGCGAAGGCGGCUCACUGGACCGGUACUGACGCUGAGGCGCGAAAGCGUGGGGAGCAAACAGG